rnacentral:rRNA from 1 species
UACGAAGGGGGCUAGCGUUGUUCGGAAUUACUGGGCGUAAAGCGCACGUAGGCGGACUACUAAGUCAGGGGUGAAAUCCCGGGGCUCAACCCCGGAACUGCCUUUGAUACUGAUAGUCUCGAGUCCGGAAGAGGUGAGUGGAAUUCCGAGUGUAGAGGUGAAAUUCGUAGAUAUUCGCAAGAACACCAAUAGCGAAGGCAGCUCGCUGGGACGGUACUGACGCUAAGGCGCGAAAGCGUGGGGAGCGAACAGG